AAGGGUGCGUAGGCGGCCUGUUAAGUCAGGGGUGAAAGACGGUAGCUCAACUAUCGCAGUGCCCUUGAUACUGAUGGGCUUGAAUUGACUAGAGGUAGGCGGAAUGUGACAAGUAGCGGUGAAAUGCAUAGAUAUGUCACAGAACACCGAUUGCGAAGGCAGCUUACUAUGGUCUUAUUGACGCUGAGGCAACGAAAGCGUGGGGAUCAAACAGGAUUAGAUACCCUGGU
rnacentral:rRNA from 1 species